GCACAAGCAGCGGAGCGUGUGGUUUAAUUCGAUGCUACACGAAGAACCUUACCUGGGUUUGACAUAUAGGUUGUAGGGAACUGAAAGGGACCGACCCUUCGGGAGCCUAUACAGGUGUUGCAUGGCUGUCGUCAGCUCGUGUCGUGAGAUGUUCGGUUAAGUCCGCUAACGAGCGCAACCCUCGUCGUAUGUUAUAUGUGUCAUACGAGACUGCCGGUAAAAGCCGGAGGAAGGUGAGGAUGACGUCAAGUCAGCAUGACCUUUAUAUCCAGGGCUACACACACGCUACAAUGGUCUGUACAAUGGGUAGCCAAGCCGCGAGGCGGAGCCAAUCCUGAAAGCAGGCCUCAGUUCAGAUUGCAGUCUGCAACUCGACUGCAUGAAGCCGGAGUUGCUAGUAACCGCAGGUCAGCAAUACUGCGGUGAAUACGUUCCCGGGUCUU
rnacentral:rRNA from 1 species